UACGUAGGGUGCGAGCGUUAAUCGGAAUUACUGGGCGUAAAGCGUGCGCAGGCGGUUGGCAAAGUCAGCUGUGAAAGCCCCGGGCUCAACCUGGGAAUUGCAUUCGAGACUGCAUAGCUAGGGUGCGGAAGAGGGAAGCGGAAUUUCCGGUGUAGCGGUGAAAUGCGUAGAUAUCGGAAGGAACACCAGUGGCGAAAGCGGCUUCCUGGUCCAGCACCGACGUUCAGGCACGAAAGCGUGGGGAGCAAACAGG
rnacentral:rRNA from 1 species